UGCCCUUUAAUUCCCUGCCGCCCUAUAUGCGACCGCAUGGAUGGAACCACUAUGCAUUCGCAUAGUGGCCAGUCUUGGCUCCAAAUUUGGCCUCGUGAAUCAAGUGUCUCCCAUCCAUUCCGGCCUUCGUCUUCAACACCAAUCUUGCUCUUUGACAUGUCAUCUUCAACCCCGUGAACUCCAUAGCUAGGCCACGCAAUUGUGUGACUUAUAUUUCCCACUGAGGUCUCAAACACGGGUUUGGCUUCUUACAAUCAAUCACCAAGUUCCUGAUAAUCAACGACGCAACCCCAAUCAUAUCAUCUCCUCCAUUUUCUAAAGUAUACGUCCUCAAAUCUAGAACUUCAAGCUUUGCAAUGCCAUGGAAUGUUUUAUUCUUUUUCCAUUUGCCAUCUUGGAACAAGUUCAACUUUAUGUCCGACUUUCCAUCUGCUGAACAUCAAUCCCUCAUGUUCAAGAAUAUGAUACUCUAUACUGCAAUGGUUGACUAACUCUUCUUUGAUGCUCCACAAAUGCUCCAAUUGCAAUGUAUCAACCGGAUAUUCAAAUGGCGAUGCUCCUUUUAGAAAGUCCUCAUGCAAUAGAUUUUCACAUCCCUGCAUCAAAGAUAUAUUCAAAAUGGGGAGGGAUUUGUUAGUCCUCACCAACUCAUUCUCAACCUCACUCUUUUCUGCAAAGAAGCUCGCCUCAAAAUUUUCUCUUCCCUCAAAAGACUCUCCUUCUUUUCUCUCAUGUGGCUCUACCCGAUUUUUCUCACACUUAGCUAUCUCACUAUUUUCUCUCGAGCUCUCUUUUUGUCUCUCAUUUCUUUUUCUCUCGUUCUCAUCUCUUAUUUUUAUUUGGUCUUCAUAGACCUGCUGUGGUAUCAAUGAUACAAGUGUGAUAGUUUUUCCAUCCUUUUUAGAGCUGUACUUAUUUCUAAACCCAUCAUGCUUCACCCUAUGAUCAUACUGCCAUGGCCUACCCAAAAAAAUAUGACCCGCAUGCAUUGGCACAACAUUACACCACACUUCAUCCUUAUAUUGCCCAAUUGAAAAAUUUACUAGUACCCAUUUAUUCACCUUAGCCUCUUCACGAUCAUCCAACCAUUGUAGUUUAUAAGGUUUAAGGUGUUUUAUUGUUUUCAGCCCUAACUUCUCAUCUAACGUGGUACUAACAAUAUUGAUGCAACAACCUACAUCAAUAAUUAAACCACAUACCUUAUUCUUCAUGUGGCAUCUAGUGUGAAAGAUGUUUUCUCCUUGUUUCUCCUCUUCAUCCACCUUGAUUUGUGUGUUGAGUACAUGCAUCAACACAAGUGCUUCACCGUCCACCGCAUACUCCAACACUUCACCACCACUAACAUCCUCUAGCACGGGCAUCCCAUCUCCAUCACUGUCAUUCACUACUUUUCCAUUAGUACUCAAGAUCAUUGCUCUCGUAUUUGGACAUUGAGAUGCAAUGUUCCCCUUUCCCAAGCAUUUGAAACAUUUAAUGUCCCAGCUCCUAGUAGUUUGUGACUCUGCCUUUAGUAGGUCCUUGCUAGCACUUUCUUCCUUUCUCCUUGUCACUUUAGCUUUAUUGUUUGCAACACCCCCAUCAUUCUUCUGACCAUCCCAUCUCGACUACCAAGACAAAUUAGGCCCCGUUGAAUUCAUAGCUAUCCCCUUUCGCUUCAAUUGCCUUUCCACCUUCAUGGCCAUAUACAACAUAUCCUCUGACUCCACAUAGUGAUGCAACUCCACUAUAUUAGUGAUUUCCCUGUUUAACCCAUUUAGAAAAUGAGCCAUAGUGGCUACCCAAUCUUUCUCCAUAUUUGCCCUAAUCAUCAGGAUUUCCAUCUCCUUGUGGUAGUCCUCCAUACUCCUAGAACCCUGAUACAAGCCCUGCAACCUUUGAUGUAGUUUCCUUUAAUAAUGACCAGGUACAAAUCAUUUUCUCAUUAUCGCCUUCAACUCAUCCCACGUGUUGAUAGGCCUCUCCCGAUUCAUAUGCCUCCCGAUUCAUAUGCCUCGAUGUCAUCACUUAAUCUCACCAAGUGAUCGCAUAAUCAGUAAACUCAAGGACUGCUAAUCUCACCUUCUUUUCCUCAGAGUAAUUGUGACACUCAAAGAUACGCUCCACCUUUUUCUUCCAUUCCAGGUACACCUCCAUGUCACUCUUACCCUUGAAUGGCGAAUGGACAUUUUGAUGUUGUUUAUACCUCCAUCCACGUCAUCUUCAUAGUUAUUUCUACCCCACUGUUCAAACCUAUCACAUCUAUUCCUCAUUCCCCGAUUCAACUCCAUUAAACUCAUCCUCAU
rnacentral:lncRNA from 1 species